AUUGUCAUAAUACGUGAAUUCUUACUUGAGAAUGCUCUGAGCACCUGACUGUGGAAGAUAGAAUGAAAAUUUCAAUAACAAAAUCCUAACUCUAAUAGAAUACUAAUUAAAUUCUAAUUAUAUCAUAAUAAUGCUAAGCAAGCUUUAAUUAAUUCAAAGAAACCUUAAACAAUUUACAAAGAAAAAAUAAGAAAUCUUAAAAAAAUAUUAGAAUGAUUACAAAUAUAUUUCAAAUAAAUUUCAAUCCAAUCUCAAUUUAAUCCUAGUAAAAAUCCUAUUGGACUUCAAUCAAAUUUUAGGCCAAAAACUAACUAAAUCUUAAAUCUUAAACAAAUCCUAAAUAAAUCCUAAUUCCAAAAUCAACUCCUAAACAAAUCCUAAUCCUAAAUCAAAUCCUAAUCAAACUCUAAAUCUUAAAUCAAAAUCUAACCAAAUCCUAAAUCUUGAAUCAAAUCCUAAUCAAAUUCUAAUCUUAAAUCAAAUCCUAAUCAAAUCCUAAAUUUUAAACUAAAUCCUAACCAAAUUCUAAAUCCUAAAUGAAAUCCUAACCAAAUCCUAAAUCCUAAAUCAAAUCAUAAUCAAAUCAUAAUCCUAAAUCAAAUCUUAACUAAAUUCUGAUAAAAUUUUAAUUCUAAAUCAAACCUAAUCAAAUCUUAACCAAAUUCUAAUCAAAUCUUAAUCCUAAAUCAAAUCCUAAACAAAUCCUAAAUCCUAAAUAAAAUCCUAAUCAAAUCCUAAAUCUUAAAUCAAUUCCUAACCAAAUCUUAAAUCUUAAAUCAAAUCCUAAUCAAAUCCUAAAUCCUAAAUCAAAACCUAAUCAAAUCCUAAUCCUAAAUCAAAUCUUAACCAAAUCCUAAAUCCUAAAUCAAAUCCUAAUUAAAUCCUAAUUAAACCUUAAAUCUUAAAUCAAAUCCUAAACCAAAUCCUUAUCAAAUUCUAAAUCCUAAAUCAAAUCCUAACCAAUCCCAAAUAAUUCCUAUAAUAGAUUUAUACCUCAAUAACUAAUAAAUUAACCAUUGAUUUUAACUCAAAAUUUUCACACUUCUUAAAAAUUAAGUUAAAAACAAGCACAAAAUAAAUUGAAGAGGAUUAAAAUUACCAAAUAAAUAAUAACCUCAAAAACAUGCUUAGGUAUUGCCUAGCCUCCUUCUCUAAUAUUGAUGCCAAUCUUCCAGAGCUAAUAUCUCUCUUUUUUACUAUUCGAUUGAUUUCAAAAUUAUUAUAUACAUAGAAAAACAAGUCUACUAUCUUAACACAUAAAUUUUACUCCAAUCUAAUUAAUAGAUUGUAAGAAAUCUUAAAAAUCUUCAUUCAACCUAAAAUUCUACUUUUUGAGACCUUGACCCAUUCAAACCUCAAUAAUCCUCAAUUCAACUAUUAGAUCAAGCUAAAAUUCAUAAUACAUAUUAAGCACAACUAUAACCAUAUAUCUACAAAUUUUCACCUAUAGAUCUAUUACAAAACUUUCAAAAUUAUCCAAAACAUCAAUCCUAUUUUAUUUCACAAAAAUCUAAGUCAUCCAAAACAAACUUGACUUUGUAAAGUCUUUAUAAAGUCAUUACAAAUCCAAAUCGUACAAAACCAAUGCUUU
rnacentral:lncRNA from 1 species